UGAUCAAAUCAGCCAUGAUCUUGGUGAAUGACACAGCAAACUUGAUGGGCAGAAUGGCCAAUGUCUACUCCUACAUCCUUUGGCUCUUGAGACACGAGGCAGCAUUUAAGGUAGAAAGGGCCAUCACAGCACGGGUCAUUGUUUCACAAUAUGGAAAGCUGUCAAAGAAACACAUAUAUAUAUAUAUGUGCACGUGCAUGUAUACACAAACAUGCAGAGAAAUACACAUUCUUUUCUCACAUAGCAGGUAAAUCUUUGCAUGGACCUUUUUAUUUUGUAUUUCAGUGAAAAACUCCAGCCAUUUUGCAAUAAAAGACACAUUUACUUAAACAUGAACAGCUUCUGCUGACUGGUGCCCUAGAUUCGUGCUGUUUUCAAUUCUUGCCUCAUGUCUCUUUCCAUCAUUAUUAGCAGCAGCUUCUGCUCCUCCUCCCCACUUGUAAAAAAAACACUGCUGCCCUCAGUGACGCACGCGGGUGUCAAGUUCCGUUUGUAGCUUGGUCAAAUGUGGAACUUCCAGAUGGGAAACUGGACGUGGCUGGCACAGACAUGAUAGGAGGGACGUUUACCCCAGCAGGAACCAGGGGACGCAGAUUCAGAACAAGGGUCUAGCCAUUUAGGCCUGAGAUGAGGAGGAAUUUCUUCACUCGGAAGCUCACAAACCUCUGACACCAACAGGGAACGUGGGGAACAGAUGAAAAUAAAGAUGGGAAGAGAUGAAGAUAAACAAGGAGGAAGUGGCAGACAGAGACAAAGAAACAGGAAUGAGAGAAUAAAACGGACGUGGGUGCAGCGGGUGAAGCCAGCAAUGUGCUGGAGAAAGGCAUCGCUAGGACCUUCUGCUUGAUCAGCCACGGUCUAUGGGAGUGCCUCCCACAGCCAAGCUGCAGCUGAGACCUUGGUGUUCAAGUCCCCCGAGCCUUUAGCUCUGUACUGAUUGUAAUGAGGUCAGCCAGGUGGACUUCAUAGAAUAGGAGUUCCCCGAUUGAGGCUGUUAACCUGGUCCAA